CUAAGGGCCCACAUUCCAAAGGAUUUACCUUUGGAAUUUACCUUUGUUAGGUCACACACAGAGAAGGACAAGAGUGGCCAUUACAUAGGCUAAAGAUAUCCCAACACAGUUGGGGGUCUAGACUUGCAACAUUUCAACCUCCUCUCAUCACUGAAGUUCUCAUCUGUCCCCCAGCCUUUCUCUAGGAAUUCUUUCUUGUUCCCAUCUCUCAGAGACUCCAUACCAGAACAUACGGGAGGGAGGAGCAGGAAGUCCCUGAUUCGAAGGAUGCUCUGAGCCCAGCCUCCUUCUCCAUCCCUUCCUCCACCCGCUCCCUCAACUUCAGGACCUAUGACUGGAGACAGAGACCGUGCUCCAGACUUUGCAAUCAGAGAUGUUUUCACCCAAAGGUAAUGGACAUGCAGGACUUAGAAAGUCAAAGCUGGUCUCGGCUGGGGAGGUAAUCACACAGUCAAACUGGUUCAGCCAGACAGCCUGCCAAUUCUGGGUUUCUGCUCCGGGCUUCUAAAGGUGACCAAGCAAGUCCUCGGAUAAGAAUGCAAGUGAGCAAAAUAACAAAUUCUUCUGAUACGACCUUUUCUUUCUCUGAAACACGAUCUCACUGCCUAGCUCUUGCUAGCGUGAAACUCACUCUGUAAACCAGGCUAGCCUCUAACUCACGGAGAUCCGCCUGCUUCUUCCUCCCAAGCGAUGGGCUUUUGUUAGGAUAUAAUACCUUAGUCCUCAAAGUCUCCAGGAAGACAGACAGCAGAGGCCUGGACCUAGCUGUCCCUGGAGAAGCUGCAGGACAGGUGCAGCUAUAAUGGCCUGUGCAAGAAGGAAGCUUCCUGGAGCACACAUGCGGCCAGAAGCAUCAGAAGGGCCCACUGUGGUCCGGGCCAGCUCCUGUUACAAGUCAGAUGUUGGAGGGAUUUGAGAGAGUCACUUCAUUCCUUCUGACUCUCGUUGGUUCUAUCACACAAGCGGCUUCCAAACCUACCUUUAAGGUUCAGGCACAAAAGCUUCAGGAAGUCAAGCGUCUGUUUUCAAGAUGGGUAUAAAGGACCGUACUAGCUUGCAGAGAAAUGGCUGCACUUUCAUAGACACAGAAGAAGGCUCCUACCCAACAGCCAGGGGUCAGAUCUCCAAAACGAGCCCUACAAUCAGCCUUCCAGAGUUGGCCUGGAGUGCUCACCCUUCGCUCGCCUCGUUAGAAGAAUCCCAUGCACACGCUGAAGCCAGCUGAGAAUCCCUGCUAAGCUUUCGGGCAGCUGGGAGAAGCAAAGUUGGAUCCCUGCCUAAAUCCCUGGGAGAGCCCACGCUCUGUUGCCAGCACCUUGACUGGAACAUCAAUAUUGGACAUCUGGCCUCGGACCUAGGAAAGAACCAAUCUACACGAGCCAGUAUUGUCGCCAGCGUGUGAACAAAGAGAGCCGACUCCUGGGUAGAGCAGCACACUCCAAGGCAUAGGCAUGGGACAGAGCCAGGUAUGGACCACAUCCAUGUCACCUUCUAAAAAUGCCUUACUGGCUCCAACGAACCGACACAUGGCUCGUUAGCCUUCAAGAAGAAUCUAGAAAUGCUGCCCCAGUAACAUUCAGCAAGCAGAGGGAGCUCUCGGCCUGUCCAUCGACAGUGACACUGUCACCAUGGCGGCCCUCUACCCUCCAUCCUCUUCAGCAUUGAAGCUGUUACGGCUUUAAUGUAAGACAUCUCAGGUCCACGCGAUGGGACAGUCUCCACCUUGUGGCACUGCUUUGGGAGGUUGUGAACCGUGACAUGAUGGGGUCUGGCCGGAGGAUGUGGGUCACUAAAUAAACAGGCUUUGAGGUUUAACUAGUGGCUCCAAGUCAACUCCUCUGCCCUUGAUUUGCUGAGGUGUGAGCAAGCUCUUCCUGCCACAGAGCUGCCUGCCACCGCGACGCCUCCACCAUGUCUCCUAAAACAAGAUAAGCCUCUUCUAAACUGCUUCAAAGCCCUUGACAACUGCACCAGGCAAAAGAGCUAUGUAAGGAAAAGCCGUAGCUGGCCUUCCCUAAGGCAUCUCUCAUUUCACUGUAACCCCAGAACUGCUGCUAGCAUCCCGAAGUGUGCAUUAUGUGCCUACCCCGGUGGUGCUCCUGACAAGCUGCUACUAGAAACCAGACAUGGAGGAUUAUGGGUAAUGGAGGUUCUCAAUGAACACAUCACUCACCAUUCAAGUCUGAAAUACACCUCCACCUCCACACUUCACUAUAAUACCAACCCAAUUAAUAACGAUCGGUGGGAAUUAUGAAACAUCUGUUGAACAUACUGGUGUGGAGACCAGGAUUCUACUCAGGAAAGGAUGCAGUGACAGCUACCAGAAGGGCACAGUACCCUGUGAAAUAAUCACCGAAGACUUGAAAUGAUACUCAACUUGUGAUGCCUGAUCACGAGGGACAUGCAAAUCAAGCCACAAUGUGAUAUCAUUCCAGUCACUCAGACGGCCAUCAUCAGAGCACAGGGGGCG
ensembl:lncRNA